CGGUUAAAUCGACAAACCCUUGAGUAUUCUCCCAAUGAUUUUAUGGAUUCUUGCUGAGCCUUCUCUUUUAAGUUCUGACACAAAAUUUUUUCUGUUUAAUAAAGAAAUUCUAUAAUUAAUCUUCUAAAGAUGAACUGCAACUGUAAAGGGGUAUUUAUGACAUUAUUCAAAGAUACAGAACUUUCUAGUAAAUUUUUUUAAUAUUAGGAGUGUCAACAAUAGUUACCCAACUCCGGUUUCCAAUCCAAACUGCGUGUCGUUUUACACACUACGGCGAAGAAGAGAAAUUACGGGAAAGAAGAUCUAGCAGCAGCAGCAAGGGCAGCACUUAUCAAGCAAUUUCAAUCCCCAAUUGUCCGAAUCAAUUAAAGCUUCAAUAGUGAAAUUGGAUCAUUAAUGGCGGAAGAACAAGAGAGAAAGAAGAGGGUUGUGGUUGAAUCGCUGGGAUGGCUUACGGAAUCAUCGCUCAUGCCCAAGAAACAACGCUCAAUCGAAGUAGUGGGUCCAUCUUUUAUCUUAUAAGUCAGGGCCGACCUCCAUAAAUCCCAGGAAGAAUCCAAAAAAUCCAAAGAAUUGAACAGUCAGGAUGUCGAGUUUCGCCGCGCCAAGAAGAAGAUUACCUCACGUGAUGCUUUUCUCCUCCAGGAACUCCGGCGUCGAAGCCCAUGCUCUCAAGCUUAACGUCAUGGGUGGGAUGAAUUUUGCUGAGAGUGAGAGUGAGAAUGAGAGUGCCUUGGAUUGACCCAAUUGCAUCAACCAUUCAGAAUCAAGUAGUUGGUUCGACUGUUUGACGAUGGUACUUGGAACAAAUGGGGGAAUUCUGUGUUUUAGCUUUUAGGCACUCGUUUGGUCGCACUAUUGAGCUCUAAUAUGAUCCACCUCCGUCAUCCUGUUACUUUUUUUUAUUUUAUCCAGUAAUUUUUUGAAUUUUAGGUACAAAACUAUUAAAGGCCUUGGUAUUCUGGUGUUCAACCAGUUCCCAAAGUGCUAAUUCUUUUAAGUUGUAAAAGGUUCUUUCUAACAAUGGACUGGCUGUGAGAAUCAUCCAUUAAACUGGCACCUAAAGGUGGAUUCGAAUCGAGUUUUAAUAAAGAUCAAUUGGAGCUCAGUUCGAAUUUAUA